AAAUAAACCUGAAAAAAAUCGGUGAAAUAAAUGAUCUUAACACAAGUAAGUUUUAUAUAAAAUAUAUACUACAUUGAAUAACAAAAAAUGUUGAAUAAAAGUGAUUUAUUAAGUGAAGCAGUGAUUCCUAUGCGCCUCUCUCCACCGUCCGAUCCACAUCUCUGACCCCAAUCUCCAGCCGUUCAUCUCUAUAUUUCACUCCUCGCUCGUGUUAUAAAAUACACAUUCACAUUCUCAACUCCACCUCCAUUUCAUUUCCGCCCCAACUCACUCCCUCUCUCCCUCUCUCUAAUUCACUCAUAAUACACAGUGUUAAUUUCAGAAAUAAAUUCCAUGUCAGACUUCAGAAAUUCUCAAAUCGAUGAGAAUGAAAAUUCUGUUACUCAGCAGAAUUUUUAAUUUAUUUAUUUAUAAUUCUGUUGCUGAGCAGAAUUUGUAAUUUAUUUAUUUAUAAUUCUGUCACUGAGCUGAAUUUAUACUUUAUUUAUUGAUGAUUCUGUUACUCAGCAGAAUUCAUAAUUUAUUUAUUUAUU